CAGGGUGUAGCUCAGUCUGGUCAGAGCGCUUGCCUUGGGAGCAAGAAGUCGGGGGUUCAAAUCCCUCCACCCUGACCA
rnacentral:tRNA from 1 species